GUGUCAGCCGCCGCGGUAACACGUAGGAGCCAAGCGUUAUCCGAAUUCACUGGGCGUAAAGCGCGUGCAGGCGGCACGGCAAGUUGGAUGUGAAAGCUCCUGGCUCAACUGGGAGAGGACGUUCAAUACUGUCGAGCUAGAGGACGGCAGAGGGAGGUGGAAUUCCCGGUGUAGUGGUGAAAUGCGUAGAUAUCGGGAGGAACACCAGUGGCGAAGGCGGCCUUCUGGGCCGUACCUGACGCUCAGACGCGAAAGCUAGGGGAGCAAACGGGAUUAGAAACCCUCGUAGUCC
rnacentral:rRNA from 1 species